UCAAGCUACAAAGAGCGUAAGGGGAAUGCCUUGGCACCAGGAGCCGACGAAGGACGCAGCGAUCUGCGAAAAGCCACGGGGAGCCGAAAGCAGGCUUUGAUCCGUGGAUAUCCGAAUGGGGAAACCCGCAUGGUUAAUAGCCAUGCGACGUAUACUGAAUAAAUAGGUAUGCGUCGGGAACCGUCUGAACUGAAACAUCUAAGUAGGACGAGGAAAAGAAAUCAACCGAGAUUCCGUAAGUAGUGGCGAGCGAACACGGAAGAGGCCAAACCGAAGGUAGCAAUAUCUUCGGGGUACGGACAGUAAACGGCAUUGCGGUAUCUUAGCAGAAGUGCAUGGGACGGCACACCAUAGAGAGUGAUAGUCUCGUAAGCGAAAAGAGAAGGCAGCCAACUGUAUCCAGAGUACCGCCGGACACGUGAAACCCGGUGGGAACAUGGGGGGACCAUCCUCCAAGCCUAAAUACUCCCUGGUGACCGAUAGAGAACAGUACUGUGAAGGAAAGGUGAAAAGAACCCCGGGAGGGGAGUGAAAAGAACCUGAAACCUUAUGCUUACAAGCACCGAGAGCCCAUCAAAGGGUGAUCGGGUACCUUUUGUAGAAUGGUCCGGCGAGUGAAUGUAACUGGCAAGGUUAAGCACUUCAGGUGUGGAGCCGAAGCGAAAGCAAGUCUUAAUAGGGCGUCAAGUCAGUUGUAUUCGACCCGAAACCGUGUGACCUAGCCAUGAGCAGGCUGAAGUGGAGGUAAAACUCCAUGGAGGGCCGAACCCACUCCCGUUGAAAUGGUAGGGGAUGACUUGUGGCUAGCGGAGAAAUUCCAAUCGAACUCGGAGAUAGCUGGUUCUCUCCGAAAUAGCUUUAGGGCUAGCCUCGAUUUGACAUUACCGGAGGUAAAGCACUGAAUGGGCUAGGGGCCGAGAGGUUACUGAACCCUAUCAAACUAAGAAUGCCGGAUAAUGAUAAUCGGGAGUCAGACAGUGUGAGAUAAGUUUCAUUGUCAAAAGGGAAACAGCCCAGACCCACAGCUAAGGUCCCAAAGUACAGUUAAGUGGUGAAGGAUGUGGAAUUGCAUAGACAACCAGGAUGUUGGCUUAGAAGCAGCCACUCAUUAAAAGAGUGCGUAAUAGCUCACUGGUCGAGUGACUCUGCGCCGAAAAUUUAACGGGGCUAAACUAUACACCGAAGCUUGGGAUACAUCUAAUGUAUGGUAGGAGAGCGUUGUAUACGGGGUGAAGUCAGAGCGGAAGCGCUGGUGGACUUUAUUCGAGUGAGAAUGCCGGAAUGAGUAGCGAGAAUUAUGUGAGAAUCAUAAUGGCCGAAAAUCUAAGGUUUCCUGAGGAAGGUUCGUCCGCUCAGGGUAAGCCGGGGGCUAAGGCGAGGCGGAGACGCGUAGCCGAUGCACAUACGGUUGAAAUUCCGUAGCCACCGAAAGAUUUAAGUACAGGGACGCUUUAGAAGUGAUGUAGCCGGGCGAUGGUUGACCCGGUCGUAAGGGAUCGAAAAUGAGUAGAGAAGUCAUCAUGGAAAGAGACAAGAAAAGCUGUAUGAAUAUCUUAGGUGCCCGUACCGCAAACCGACACAGGUAGAUAGGAAGAAGAUUCUAAGGCCAACGGGAGAAGGGUUGUUAAGGAACUCGGCAAGUUGACCCCGUAACUUAGGGAUAAGGGGUGCUCAAGUGAUUGAGCCGCAGAGAAUAGGCCCAGGCGACUGUUUAGCAAAAACACAGGUCUCUGCUAAAUCGAAAGAUGACGUAUAGGGGCUGACACCUGCCCGGUGCCGGAAGGUUAAGAGGAGAUGUGAGAGCAUUGAAUUGAAGCCCCGGUAAACGGCGGCCGUAACUAUAACGGUCCUAAGGUAGCGAAAUUCCUUGUC
rnacentral:rRNA from 1 species